rnacentral:rRNA from 1 species
UACGUAGGGCGCAAGCGUUGUCCGGAAUUAUUGGGCGUAAAGAGCUCGUAGGCGGCCUGUUGCGUCCGCUGUGAAAUCCCGGGGCUUAACCCCGGGCUUGCAGUGGAUACGGGCAGGCUGGAGGCAGGCAGGGGAGAACGGAAUUCCCGGUGUAGCGGUGAAAUGCGCAGAUAUCAGGAGGAACACCGGUGGCGAAGGCGGGUCUCUGGACCGAUACUGACGCUGAGGAGCGAAAGCGUGGGGAGCAAACAGG